UACGAAGGGUGCAAACGUUGCUCGGAAUUAUUGGGCGUAAAGCGCACGUAGGCGGCUUGGCAAGUCGGAUGUGAAAUCCCUCGGCUCAACCAAGGAAGUGCAUCCGAAACUGCUGAGCUUGAGUACUUAAGAGGAUCGCGGAAUUCCCGGUGUAGAGGUGAAAUUCGUAGAUAUCGGGAGGAACACCAGUGGCGAAGGCGGCGCCCUGGCUCGCAACUGACGCUCAGACACGACAGCAUGGGGAGCGAACGGG
rnacentral:rRNA from 1 species